AUGAGCUAUGCACGUCCUAGUAACUACCAUUGCACUAGAAGGGUGCUGGUUAGAAGCUCAUAUUUCUAUGGUGAAACUUUAAAAUUAAAGCUUUUUGCCCAUAAAAAAGCUAAACAGCACAGCUUUAACCUCUCUGGACUUGACUUGACAAGCCUGCAGUGUGUGGAACUCUCACUGAAGUCAGUGUGCUUUCAGUUCUGUGCCUUUUUGCCACAGUCCUGGACAAGCUUCCCAAUAUUGGCCAAGCUUUCAGACGUGAUGGGAGGCCACAUCUUCCUGUGUGCACCCAAGAGCGCUUGUGAAGCUACAAGGUGGAUGGUGAAGGGCUUUUUGCUCAGCUCCACAAAAGAGGGUGCGUUGCCAGUGACCGUUACUGCUUGGGUGCAGAGUCGGGCCCAAGCGCCAGUCAGAGACGUGCAGAAUACAGCAGAGCAGGUUCCUGCUGGAGCAGCACCAUCUCAUGGCUUUUGUGAAAUGGUGCCUAGGAUCUGGAUGCCACGAAGAAGCCUGCGACGAAAGGUGGCAAAAAAAAGAAGCAGGUCCUAAAAUUUACUCUGGACUGCACCCAUCCCGUUGAAGAUGGAAUCAUGGACGCAGCCAACUUCGAGCAGUUCUUGCAGGAACGAAUCAAAGUGAAUG